UGUAUUAUUAGUUAUUUAUUUAUUUUAGGAGUAUUCAAACUUCAUGAACUGUAUCCAAUGGAUCUAUCCACAGGACAGGAUAAACUGUUUAACGGUGUAUAUGAAACACUUGGCUCAUUUCUUUAAGACUUGAACCUUAUAUUUAACAAUGUGCUAAAAAGAUAUUCAAACAAGAUCUCAGCCUCAAGAGCAUUGUCUUUUUAAAUGUUCAUUUUGUGGUUGAUCCACCAAUAUUGUCUUAAAUCGGACACUAAAGAGAAGAAAUAUCAAUCAUUUAUCAAUAAGAAAUGUUCACGUAUUAUCAAUGGACUGGAGGUCUACUGCAGUAAUAAAGAGAAAGGAUGCCAAUGGAAAGGAGAAUUGAAGAAUAUGUCUACUCAUUUUAAUGAAGAGAAGAGAGAAGGAGAAUGUCAAUAUGAAGAAGUAAAGUGUCGACAUGAGAAAUGUCAAGAGAGAAAGCAACAUAAAUAUCUUAAGUAUCAUGAAGAUAAAGAAUGUCCUCAUUGUCCAUUUUAUUGCCAAUAUUGCUGGAGGAUAUUAGGUACAAUGUACAUUCCUCUUUAUUACUGAGGAUCAUUGUAAGAAAUGUUUGUGGUAUCCUGUUGCUUGUCCUAAUAAAUGUGUGUCUACUCAUAUGCCAAGAGGUAGUCUCACUGCUCAUGCGAAUCAAGAGUGUCCAUUAGGGCCAGUAGAUUGUGUUUUUAGUUGGGCUGGUUGUAAUGAUAAGCCAUUACGCAAAGAUGUACAUGUACACACUGCUGAUACUAAACACAUGACACUAUUAGCUGUAGCUUGUGGACAUUCAAUCGCACUAAGUAAGUAUGUGUACAUGUACAUGUACAAUAAUAAAUCAAUUUUGUACAUAAUUGAUGACACAUGUACAUUUUAUGUACUCUUAAUGGCUGAGUCUAUGCAAGAAAACUUUUACUGUUGAAGUAACCUUUAUUGUUAACCAUUAUUUUUACUUUUA